AUUGAACGCUGGCGGCAGGCCUAACACAUGCAAGUCGAACGGUAACAGAACUAGCUUGCUAGUUGCUGACGAGUGGCGGACGGGUGAGUAAUACUUAGGGAUCUGCCUCUGUGUGGGGGAUAACUAUUGGAAACGAUAGCUAAUACCGCAUGAUGUCUACGGACCAAAGGGGGCUUUUAGCUCCCGCGCAGAGAGGAACCUAAGCGAGAUUAGCUAGUUGGUGUGGUAAAGGCGCACCAAGGCGACGAUCUCUAGCUGUUCUGAGAGGAAGAUCAGGCCACCACUGGAACUGAGACACGGUCCAG
rnacentral:rRNA from 1 species